AAUAUACUCCCUCCGUCCCAUAUUAAGUGACUUUCUAUUACAUGUAUCUAGACACUUUUUAGGCAUAGAUACAUCCAUAUUUGGGCAAAUUUGAGUCACUUAAUAUGGGACGGAGGGAGUAGUUA
rnacentral:pre_miRNA from 1 species